AACGAACGCUGGCGGCAUGCCUAACACAUGCAAGUCGAACGGGAUCCUAGCUUGCUAGGUGAGAGUGGCGGACGGGUGAGUAACACGUGGGAAUCUGCCUUUUUGGUUCGGGAUAACCGCGGGAAACUGCGGCUAAUACCGAAUGCCCUCGAGAGAGGAAAGAUUUAUCGCCAGAAGAGGAGCCCGCGUCCGAUUAGGUAGUUGGUGGGGUAAAGGCCUACCAAGCCGACGAUCGGUAGCUGGUCUGAGAGGAUGAUCAGCCACACUGGGACUGAGAUACGGCCCAGACUCCUACGGGAGGCAGCAGU
rnacentral:rRNA from 1 species